UAGGGAAUCUUCCGCAAUGGGCGAAAGCUUGACGGAGCAACGCCGCGUGAGUGAUGAAGGUCUUCGGAUCGUAAAACUCUGUUAUUAGGGAAGAACAAAUGUGUAAGUAACUAUGCACGUCUUGACGGUACCUAAUCAGAAAGCCACGGCUAACUACGUGCCAGCAGCCGCGGUAAUACGUAGGUGGCAAGCGUUAUCCGGAAUUAUUGGGCGUAAAGCGCGCGUAGGCGGUUUUUUAAGUCUGAUGUGAAAGCCCACGGCUCAACCGUGGAGGGUCAUUGGAAACUGGAAAACUUGAGUGCAGAAGAGGAAAGUGGAAUUCCAUGUGUAGCGGUGAAAUGCGCAUAGAUAUGGAGGAACACCAGUGGCGAAGGCGACUUUCUGGUCUGUAACUGACGCUGAUGUGCGAAAGCGUGGGGAUCAAACAGG
rnacentral:rRNA from 1 species